UAGGGCUUGAACUCACGAACUGUGAGAUCAUGACCUGAGCCCAAGUUGGAUGCUUAACUAACUGAGUCACUCAGGCGCCCCUAUAAUCGUGGUUUUAAAUUCUAGUUCAAACAUCUUACUUCUGUCUAUGUCAAUUAAAUCUCUGGCCAUCAUUUUGAAGAUGCAUAUUUCUAAAUGAAGCCAGCUUCUCCCAAUGGAAAUGGCCAGUGAGGCACUGGAGAUAUAGACUUGAAGCUGAUGUGAGAGAUCUGAAGUCCAUUGGGUGUCUCCUCCUAGGGGCCUGACAUGGCUGCUGAAUCCCAGGGUCUUGGCAGUCUGGGUUCAGUGAACCUGCAUGGGGAGGAAAAUAGGCAGAUAACCUGAGAGGCAAAGGACAAAAGGAAAGUGUUGCUUCAGAACCUCUAGGCCAAGGAGUUAGUGGAACUCCCAGUACAAAGUGUCAAGGCAGAGAUGUGGAAUCUCUGGGGAGCUGAUUGAAUGGAAAAUGAGGCUCCAGGAGUUUUGAAGAGCAUGACAGAAAUUAGAACUUGGAAAAGAUUCCCUGAUCCAAGGGGAAAGCAGCUGUCAAGGCUGUCAAGGCUGUCAAGGCCUGUAGAGUGGCAGGCACAAGGAUGGACCCUCCACAGUUCCUUGCAGUAGAAAUGAUAGUGAAGUUGUGAGAUGCAUAGCCCCUGACACAAACACAUGUGCUUUAGGAGAGAACAGCAAGGGGCUGAGGACUCAACACUGCCAAAGAAGGAAAGGACCAAAGUGGAGUUUUCUUAAGGCUUAACAAGGAGAGUUUGGAUGUAGUUAUACAGAAGUGCCAAGAGUGAUGUUUCCAGAAAGAAGGGGAGGUCCUCAGCAGAGAAUGAGGAAUAAUGGGAACAAAUGAAACCAAAUUAUGCUCAACUUUCCAGUGGACCUAUAUUAUAUAAUGUUACCCAAUUCCUUUUCUCCAUCUUCUUUCUAUUGAGGUAUAAUUUAUUUACAAUAAAAUGCAGAGGUUUUAGGGACAUAGUUCAAUGAAUUUUGACAACUGUAUAUAUCUGUAUAAAAUCAUCACCCCGGUUAAGAUACCAAACAUUUAUAUCACCCUAGAAAGUUCCCCUGUGCACCUUUUCAGUAAAUCUCCACCCUACUCCCUUCCCAGACAAUUAUGGUCCUGUUUUCUAUGAUCAUAUAUUGGUUUUGUGUCUCCUCUAGAACUUCAUAUAAAUAGAAUCAUACAGUCUGUAUUUUUUUGUAUCAGGCUUCUUUUACUCCACAUAAUAUUUUUAGAUUUAUCCAGUUUGUUUUGUAGAUAGUAGUUUCUUUUAAUUGCUGAGUAGUUUUCCACUAUGUAAAUACACAAUUAUUUGUCUAUCCAUUUUCUUGUUUAUGGACAGUUGGGUUGAUUCCAGGUUUUGGAUAUCAUGAAUUAAGCUGUUAUGAACAUUCUUAGUACCUAGCGCAGUGCCUGAAAAAUAGAAGGAACUUAAAAAUAUGCUGCUGAAUGGAAGACUAAAUGAAUGGAGGGAACAGUCAACUGGUGGUGUUGGAAGUACAGAAGAUAAUAGGAUGGUACAAGUUCAGGAAGAUUUUCUUAGAGUUGUUUAACUCUGCUUCAACAAAAUUCUGCUUCAACAAAACUCUUAGAAGAAUGAAGGCUUGAGUUGCCAAAGCCCAAACUUGAGGACUGGCUAUCCCUCUAUGUUUCCAUCAGGCUCUGCAUUUAGUUACAGAUGGAAGUUGGUUAUCUUAUCUCCAACAAAGACUGCAAGAGUGGGAUGUGUCCUUCUGGCUCUUUGUAAUCAGGCUUUUUGUGACUGGGGAUGCUGGUUGCCCAUAUGACAUUAAAAUUUUUUCAGUCUCUGUACUGGGGGUAAAAAUAUGAGCAGAAUUUGAAUUUGAAAAUUACUCCUUCCUACAUUGA